GUAUUUUGCAUGUCGGCUCAGGGCAAAGAGUGCAUUUUAGAAUAAAGGAGGUGUGGCAACGUGUGUGCAUGGCCGUCAGAUGCACAGGGCUAAGAACAAUGAACGGGCACUUAUAGCAGUCAUGGUCCAGUAAGAGGAAGAAAGUAUGGAUUCAACUCUGUAGGGGUGAUGGUUUGAGUCAACGCAACAGACCAGCAACCCAGACCAAACAAAGAGAUCUGUCAUUCUUCCUGUGAGUGACACCGGAACUGCUCUCGUUAACCUUACACUGUUCGUCGCUCAUUAUGAGAAUGUCAACACCCACGCCAAGUCUACUAAUUCCAGAUGAUCUAAAAUUUUAAGACCCUUAGGGAUCCAGUUCACUGGAGGAUUCUACUCAAAGGUAUAGAGAAAGGCCUUUGUUCAAGCUGCACAUCACAUUUUGUUAAUUAGGCAUGGAAGUCACUCUCCUCGUACCCAAGGUCUCACAUGUGCUCUCCUAACGUACUGAUUAGCAUCCAAGCAAAACCACAACCCAUCAUAUACCACUUUAAGCUUCUCUUCCCCCAGUGGUAUUAUUGCUCUGUCCUAAUUACGUGACAACAACCCCACGGAUUUGAAUUCAAAUGGCAGCAAGCGGCCAAAAUGCCAAUUUCUUCAUCUACUAAUCUGUACUUCUAUAGUUUCUCUCCGAAUGUUUUCUUCCUCCAUUUUAAAGUUAUAUUUCUGUACAUGAAUAACUCCAUUAUACAGUUAAUAUGGUAAAGGAAACAAACUCUUUCUUAUGUCAAUGACACCUUUAAUACUUUUUUUAUCAUUCCUCUAUUUUAAAAUCUUACUACAUUUUCCUUUUUGAAGGUAUU
rnacentral:lncRNA from 10 species